AGGGGUAUGGAAAUUACGGGGUGGGAUCGGGUGGAAAUUCGGCGAGAAUAUCCGGGAGGGACGCACGAUGGGGGAAGGCAGAUUCUAGGAGGCCUACACGGAAGAUGAAGGAGUAAAAGGAGGGGAGCAAACAGGCUUAGAUACCCUGGUAGUCCACCCGGUAAACGUUGGGAACUAGGUGGAGGGUCCAUUCCACGGAUUCGGUGACGCAGCUAACGCAUUAAGUUCCCCGCCUGGGGAGUACGGCCGCAAGGCUAAAACUCAAAGGAAUUGACGGGGACCCGCACAAGCGGCGGAGCAUGCGGAUUAAUUCGAUGCAACGCGAAGAACCUUACCAAGGCUUGACAUAUACGAGAACGGGCCAGAAAUGGUCAACUCUUUGGACACUCGUAAACAGGUGGUGCAUGGUUGUCGUCAGCUCGUGUCGUGAGAUGUUGGGUUAAGUCCCGCAACGAGCGCAACCCUCGUUCUAUGUUGCCAGCACGUAAUGGUGGGAACUCAUGGGAUACUGCCGGGGUCAACUCGGAGGAAGGUGGGGAUGACGUCAAAUCAUCAUGCCCCUUAUGUCUUGGGCUUCACGCAUGCUACAAUGGCCGGUACAAAGGGCUGCAAUACCGCGAGGUGGAGCGAAUCCCAAAAAGCCGGUCCCAGUUCGGAUUGAGGUCUGCAACUCGACCUCAUGAAGUCGGAGUCGCUAGUAAUCGCAGAUCAGCAACGCUGCGGUGAAUACGUUCCCGGGUCUUGUACACACCGCCCGUCAAGUCAUGAAAGUCGGUAACACCUGAAGCCGGUGGCCUAACCUUUUGGAGGGAGCCGUCGAAGUGGAUCGAA
rnacentral:rRNA from 1 species